rnacentral:rRNA from 1 species
UACGUAGGGGGCAAGCGUUGUCCGGAAUCAUUGGGCGUAAAGAGCGCGUAGGCGGCCAGAUAAGUCCGGUGUGAAAGUCAAAGGCUCAACCUUUGAAUGCCGCUGGAAACUGUCUGGCUAGAGUCCGGGAGGGGCGAGUGGAAUUCCUGGGUGUAGCGGUGAAAUGCGCAGAUAUCAGGAGGAACACCAAUGGCGAAGGCAGCUCGCUGGAACGGUACUGACGCUGGAGGCGCGAAAGCGUGGGGAGC